rnacentral:tRNA from 4 species
GCCGAGGUAGCUCAGCCUGGGAGAGCACCGCGCUGAAGACGCGGCUGUCGCGCGUUCAAAUCUCGCCCUCGGCA